UCCCUCCUAACUCAGUUGGUAAAGAAUCUGCCUGCAAUGCAGGAGACACAGGUUUGAUUCCUGGGUUGGGAA
rnacentral:tRNA from 1 species